rnacentral:rRNA from 1 species
CCUACGGGUGGCAGCAGUGGGGGAUAUUGCACAAUGGGGGAAACCCUGAUGCAGCGACGCCGCGUGGGUGAAGAAGGGCCUCGGAGCGUAAAGCCCUGUCAGCAGGGAAGAAAAUGACGGUACCUGAAGAAGAAGCCCCGGCUAAAUACGGGCCAGCAGCCGCGGUAAUACGUAGGGGGCAAGCGUUAUCCGGAUUUACUGGGUGUAAAGGGGGCGCAGGCGGCGAUGCAAGUCAGGAGUGAAAGACCGGGGCCCAACCCCGGGACUGCACUUGGAACUGCGUGGCUAGAGUGCAGGAGGGGCAGGCGGAAUUCCUGGUGUAGCGGUGAAAUGCGUAGAUAUUCGGAGGAACACCGGUGGCGAAGGCGGCCUGCUGGACUGCAACUGACGUUGAGGCCCGAAAGCGUGGGGAGCAAACAGGAUUAGAUACCCUGGUAGUC